ACUAUUUUGGCAGAUAAAUGCAAUAAAUUUAGAAUUUAUUUAUGUAAUAUUUUUACAAAUAGUA
rnacentral:tRNA from 2 species